rnacentral:rRNA from 1 species
GAUGAACGCUGGCGGCGUGCCUAAUACAUGCAAGUCGAGCGAACAGACGAGGAGCUUUCUCCUCUUACGUUAGCGGCGGACGGGUGAGUAACACGUAGAUAACCUACCUAUAAGACUGGGAUAACUUCGGGAAACCGGAGCUAAUACCGGAUAAUCUAUUGAACCGCAUGGUUCAAUAGUGAAAGACGGUUUUGCUGUCACUUAUAGAUUGAUCCGCGCCGCAUUAGCUAGUUGGUAAGGUAACGGCUUACCAAGGCAACGAUGCGUAGCCGACCUGAGAGGGUGACCGGCACAACUGGAACUGAGACACGCUCCAGACUCCUAGGGGAGGCACCAGUAGGGAAUCUUCGGAAAUGGGCGAAAGCCUAACGGGGCAACGCCGCGUGAGUGAGGAAGGUCUUCGGAUCGUAAAACUCUGUUAUUAGGGAAGAACAAAUGUGUAAGUAACGAGGCACGGCUUGACGGUACCUGAACAGAAAGCCACGGCUAACUACGUG